GACGGAGGGUGCAAGCGUUGUUCGGAUUGACUGGGCGUAAAGGGCGUGUAGGCGGUUGGUCAAGUCUGGUGUGAAAGCCCUCGGCUUAACUGAGGAAGUGCACCUGAAACUGGCAGGCUUGAGUACGAAAGAGGGUCGCGGAAUUCCCGGUGUAGAGGUGAAAUUCGUAGAUAUCGGGAGGAACACCGGUGGCGAAGGCGGCGACCUGGUUCGAUACUGACGCUGAGGAGCGAAAGUGUGGGGAGCGAACAGG
rnacentral:rRNA from 1 species